UGUAUUUGCUGUAAUUUCCCUGUCCGCCAGCAGGUGGCAGCAAUAUGUAAGCAGACCAAGGUUAGUUAGUAUAUCUAGUCUGGAAUAGUCCAUUCCAGUAUAGGCUCCCCUGUGUGAGCAGAAGUGGGACGUUCCCAUGUCCUGUCUCAUGAGGAGGA